rnacentral:rRNA from 1 species
UUAGUUGGUGGAGCGAUUUGUCUGGUUAAUUCCGAUAACGAACGAGACUCCAGCCUGCUAAUUAGUGCGUCUGUCCACUGUUUCUGUGUAGGCGGCGUUCGGCAAGGCUGCUGCUAUGUGCUGCUUGACGGUUGGCCCUCGGGUUGCAGUCUUGUAGUACGGUGGUGCUGGUCCAGCGUUAGCUUCCGGUUUCGGCGCGGGCGUUUACUUCUUAGAGGGACAAGCGGGAGAAGCCGCACGAAAUUGAGCAAUAACAGGUCUGUGAUGCCCUUAGAUGUCCGGGGCCGCACGCGCGCUACAAUGACGGUGUCAACGAGUCUGACCUUCUGGCCCGAAAGGGUUGGGCAAACUGGUCAAUCACCGUCAUGACAGGGAUCGGGGCUUGGAAUUGUUCCCCGUGAACGAGGAAUUCCUAGUAAGUGCAAGUCAUAAGCUUGCGCUGAUUACGUCCCUGCCCUUUGUACACACCGCCCGUCGCUACUACCGAUUGAAUGGUUUAGUAAGGUCCUUGGAUUGGCGCCAUUGUGGUGGUUACCGAAAGGUGAUUGCCAUACAGGUGCCGAGAAGACGACCAAACUUGAUCAUUUA